rnacentral:rRNA from 1 species
AUGAACGCUGGCGGCGUGCUUAAGACAUGCAAGUCGUGCGAGAAAGUUCGCAAGGAUGAGUAAAGUGGCGCACGGGUGAGUAAUAUUUAGGUAACGUGCCCUCUCGCUGGGGAUAACCAAGGGAAACUUUGGCUAAUACCGAAUGCACCGCGAAGGACUGAGGUUCUUUUCGGAAAAGCCGUAAGGCGCGAGAGGAGCGGCUUAAAUCCCAUUAGCUAGUUGGUAGAGUAAAAGCCUACCAAGGCAACGGUGGGUAGCUGGUCUGAGAGGAUGACCAGCCACACUGGUACUGGAACACGGACCAGACUCCUACGGGAGGCAGCAGUUAGGAAUCUUGCACAAUGGGCGAAAGCCUGAUGCAGCAACGCCGCGUGAGGGAUGAAGGCUUUCGGGUUGUAAACCUCUUUUAGUGGGGGCGAAAAAAAUGACAGUACCCACAGAAAAAGCACCGGCUAACUCCGU